CGCCCCUUCGGGGGAGCGGCAGACGGGUGAGUAACACGUUGGAAUCUGCCCCAAAGUGAGGGAUAAGCCCGGGAAACUGGGUCUAAUACCGCAUGUGCCCGCAAGGGUAAAGCUUUUGCGCUUUGGGAGGAGCCUGCGUAAUAUCAGCUUGUUGGUGAGGUAAUGGCUCACCAAGGCUAUGACGUUUAACUGGUCUGAGAGGAUGACCAGUCACAAGGGAACUGAGAUACGGUCCCUACUCC
rnacentral:rRNA from 1 species